AUACUUUCCUGGCAGACAAGAUACCAUGAUUAUGAAGGUAGUUUUCCCAGGGCAUGCCUUGCCCAUUGCACUCUGGGUGUGCUGACCCAUGCAAUUUCCCCAAAAGUGAGAAAAAAGAAUGUAUAAUUUGUGGUAGUGAGGGACUGCCUGUGUGCCCUUU